rnacentral:rRNA from 1 species
GAUCAUGGCUCAGGACGAACGGUGGCGGCGCGCCUAACACAUGCAAGUCGAACGGAGCUAUGUUGAAAGCUUGCUGGAUAUAUAGCUUAGUGGCGGACGGGUGAGUAACACGUGAGCAACCUGCCUUUCAGAGUGGAAUAACGUUUGGAAACGAACGCUAAUACCGCAUAAUGUCAGAGGAUGGCAUCAUUCUUUGACCAAAGAUUUAUCGCUGAAAGAUGGGCUCGCGGCCG